UGCGUAGGCGGAAUAUUAAGUCAGUGGUGAAAUCCUGCGGCUAAACCGUAGAACUGCCAUUGAUACUGAUAUUCUUGAAUGUAGUUGAGGUAGGCGGAAUGUGUAAUGUAGCGGUGAAAUGCUUAGAUAUUACACAGAACACCGAUUGCGAAGGCAGCUUACUAAACUAUGAUUGACGCUGAGGCACGAAAGCGUGGGGAGCGAACAGGAUUAGAUACCCUGGUAGUC
rnacentral:rRNA from 1 species